AUAUGUGUGUGAGGGACAAACAAAAAUAGCAAGUGUCAGAGAGAGCUGCAAUGUACCCAUGUUGUUAUGUGUUUUUUCUGACAGAGCCCAUCUGCACCAAGGCAUUGUCUUCAUUCCACUGUAAAGAUGAGUUCAUGGCUGCUUGCUGUGUCAUGGCAUUUUAACACCAUCAGAAAAUCAUUACAGAUCCAAGAGAAGCAAAGAUAGACAUGUCAGAUGUAAGACAAGCAUUAUGUCCCUCAGAAAAAAGAAAAUUAUACAGCUUUGGAGCAAAAUGAGGGUGCUUUAUUGCAGAUAUGUCUUCAUGAGAGGCAGUGGGAACUGGAGGUGUCGGCAUGUGCGGCUGUCUAACUAUAGUUUAAAUAGCACUCUAGAUGAGAUAACAGCCAAUAGAAGACACUUUGAGGCAAGUAUCAUGGGUCAUAAUCAGCCAUUAAAGGCACAUUUAAUAUUGAGUUUCAUACUGAUGAACAUGGCUUUAUUAGUGUCCCGAACAUCCAUUACUUGGUCUGCGUGUGUCCUCUGGGCGGUGGAUCUCUGAUGUCACAACACUGAGGAAGGGACAGCGAUGGGGUUGAUGCUUGGCCUUGGAUUUGGUUCUGUUGCCAUGGGAUACAUAUAUGCUAAUAAGCAAGACGACCACGCUUAUGAGCAGUGCGCCAGCCAAUCCAAGCAGGAGGCCGUAAAUUACAGGCCAUAGUCUGUCUAGAAGAUGGGGCUGAUAAGGUGGGACUGGUUGCCUUUUCACCACCAAGUCCACAUCUUUCCAGGUGAACCCUUUAACUGUCAAACAAGCAGAAACUACAAUUGUUAGCUUGAUUAAUCUAUUUCAUAUAUAUUUGAUUAAAUAAAUCACUCUAGUUAUUGAAAUUGUGAAAAUGAUUUGUGGGGGUCUUGGAAGUUGCAGUUAGAAUG